rnacentral:rRNA from 1 species
AUUGAACGCUGGCGGUAUGCUUAACACAUGCAAGUCGAACGAUGAGAAAGAGCUUGCUCUUUCGAUUAGUGGCGGACGGGUGCGUAACGCGUAGGAAUCUACCUAUUAGUGGGGGACAACUUAGGGAAACUUAAGCUAAUACCGCAUACGCCCUACGGGGGAAAGAAAGGGAUCGCAAGAUCUUUUGCUAAUAGAUGAGCCUGCGUAGGAUUAGCUAGUUGGUGGGCUAAAAGCUCACCAAGGCGACGAUCCUUAACUGGUUUGAGAGAAUGAUCAGUCACACUGGAACUGAGACACGGUCCAGACUCCUACGGGAGGCAGCAGUGGGGAAUAUUGGACAAUGGGCGAAAGCCUGAUCCAGCAAUACCGCGUGUGUGAAGAAGGCCUUAGGGUUGUAAAGCACUUUCAAUUGGAAGGAAAACCUCGAAGCUAAUACCUUCGAGUUUGACAUUACCUUUAGAAGAAGCACCGGCUAACUCCGUGCCAGCCGCCGCGGUAA